UUGUUUUUCAGACACUCUACAGGCAAGCUGGUGCCAAUGGAAGAACAACCCAGAACACUGUAUUAUGGAUGCCAAGAUGGGAAAAUCCUGAUCUAAGCUGGCCGCAGCCUGGAGCCAAAAUACUUCCUGACAGGCGAACAUGUGGGAGCAGGUGCAACUGGUGCUUUUCAGUGUGUCCUUUCAGUCCAUUACAUGGGUGGUACACCCCCACAGAAUGAAAAUAUCUGGAUGUGCCCCUCCCCGAUGGCCAUGGAGGAGCAGACCCAAUGGCCUGUUGCAAGGAGUGGACAAUUGGGUGUAAUGUAUUGGCUAUUUACAUGCUGCCAUCGGGACUUUGGUGCACAAAUGGAUCUGUGGAACUCAUUGCUGUGGACAAUCUAAGCAGUGCAUACUACCUGCUUCCAUACCAAGUGGUCGAGCUGGUUUGGACAAUACCCCAUUUCUCUGUGGACAUUCAAUGGACUCAUGAUAUAGACAAAGGCAAGCAAAACCUGCAGGAGCAGCUCGAUGCAACUGCCACCAAUUGGACACAUUACAAAUAUAUUCUCCAGAACGGUGUUAAAAGGAUCUUACCCCUCUGAAAAGAGGGAAAAGCAGUGUUUCUGGUAGUGGCCCAGAUGUUGGACUAUAUUACAAUGAUCAGGGCUGACCAUAUUACCGUGGCUAUUGGCUUAUUGUUAAGUGUGCUAAUUUACAAUGUAUACUGUGGUGGUGAAGGGGGGCACAGACCCACAAGGUACAACCACUAAUUGUCACAUAAGUAAUGUAAACAGUCCUCCGCCAAAGUGUAACAGAUAACUUGGACCCAGCCUUCUCGGGCCCAUUACUAGGGGGAGUCUGAUACACUCAUUGGAUUAUACGUGCAGUAUGUCCAUAUGAGGGAAGGUGCAGGGCACCAUACUGCUUAGGGAGCAGUGGGGCAACUGGAGCACCGGCACAUUCCAUCCUGAUACCUGGCCCUAUCGGGAAAUAUGCUGCCAUAUGUCCUAUGCUUUUCCUGGGAUACCGGGGCAGGAGAGUCCCAAAAGAAAAUAAAGGGGUGGAGUGCUAGUAUAUAGGUCUGUUUGUUAGCCUGGGCUAGAAUUUUGAGUUAUACUCUUAUACUAAAGUGUGUAAAUAAGGGACAAAGACACUAUGAUGUUACUUCUGCCUCGUCAGUUGGAUUUGUUAGUACAAUGGGAACAGAUAUGAGCCGUUAAAAUGUUACUUGAGAGCCCACUUUAAGAUUGCCUCAACCCCUAUCUCAAGGCAAAGUCAAGCAACCAGUGGGGAGAUGCCAAGGGGCUUGGGUGGGGGUGGUAUAAAAGACCAAACAAAUGCCCAUCCCUGACCAGAGCACCACCUCGCUCUUUACCCCUCCCAAGGGGUACAAAAGGGGUAGAAGACCCCAGUCCAAAAAUGGAACAUGACCCUAUGUUGUAAGGGGUGGGACUAGGAGCAUGCACUGCAGGUAUAUUUGGGCCUGCUAAGAAGGAUGAGGUGGGAAGGGGGACAUGGGGUAAAUGCUCUGCAGGGUUGGAGCUGAGACAGAACACUGCAAAACAAACUCUGCUGGUGCGUAGAGCUAUGGAUAUGCUUGUUUGGAACUAACCCCCAUAAACAUUGGAUUGUCUGCACUCUGGACUUCUGGUCGUCUGCUUUCUGUCUGUGUGACAAGAACCAGAAGAGAGGGUGAAGGGAAAGCCCUCUAACAGGCAAUCUCUGUACACCCGAGACCUCUUCCUGCACAUGCACGCCCAUGGGGAGCGUUCCUUUCUCUAACAGAUACACCCUUCUACGCUCUUUUGCCUAGUGCUAUUGGCUGAGUCAGGCCCCAAUAAAGAGGUGAUAAAGUACAGAGUAGCACUUAGUGGAAGAGAAGAUCAAGAGGUUUAAAGGGCUGGAAUUCUGUCUCUCCACAUCGCUUUUCUUUCAUUGCUCAGCUGGAUCAGUUUCCUCUGUGUAGGAGAAUGUCUCUCAGUUUAGUUCCUGUUGUUCAUUCCUACAGGAUAUGAAGAUUGACAGAACUGUUUGAAACAUGUCUAUUCCAUUAAUGUUCAGGCUAUGCAAAUUUUGGACAAAGCAGAUGAUUAAAUGAUAACACGGCAAGAUUGAAUGUCUCCUUGCGAAAGUAUGGGGCCUCAGGCUGGUGCCUUACAUUCUUUUACCUGCCUCUUAAAGCUUCUUUUUCACCUUGCCUUGCGAGCCCCUCCCAUCUGAAGGUGUGAUUCUCUUUGUUUUCUUUCCCUGCUCUUCAGUAAGAAGGAAUAAUCUAUUUAGAACAUUCCACGGUCAAACUGGUUACUUCUGUCAU